GUAUAGUGUAAACCACAAAAUCCGCUGAAAAUGCGAGCCUGUGGCACUACACAGCUAAAAACGAUCAGGUUGUUGCAAUAUUGAUGAAAACAGGAUUGAACAAUGUUGUGUGGCCCACAUUGUUCACAGUUGUCAACAAUAUUGAACAAUAUUGUUACACCCGAUUCAGGCUCAACAAUAUUGUUCAAAAUUGAACAAUGAGGGCCGCAAUGAACAAUGAGAGCCGCACAACAUUGUUCAAUCCUGUUAAACAGCGGACUCAUAAUUUUUGGGAGAGAAUUUUGUAGGAGAAAAUUUACUGAAUAUGACCAACGUGUUCCGUUAUCCAUAUAUUUAGUCAUUUGUGUUGUGUUCCUUUGUAACCUUUCCCGAGCAAACUGUCAUUAUAUUGUCUGCAGUGAUAUCGUCAUGUCCUCUACAUUAUGGGUGAAGGGCAUCGUGGGUAAUCGUUUCUGUCACACUAGAACGAAAGAAUUUUUUAAUAAGUAUUUUUAAUACAAUAGUUUGUCGUCUCACGAAACAACUCUGGGUGUCAGGUGCAGAGGCGUAGCCAAGGCUGGGGAGUGGGGCCGGGGGCCCGCCCCCCUCCCACCUGGCAAAAUUUUGGGCGCCCCCUGAUAAAAUGUCUUGUAUAAAAAGGGGAAUCCUUGAUUAUAUAGCUUCAUGCUGUCAAUAAUGCAAACUGAAUCU